rnacentral:SRP_RNA from 1 species
GCCGGGCGUGGUGGUGGGCACCUGUAAUCCCAGCUACUUGGGAGGCAGAGGCAGGAGAAUCGCUUGAACCCGGGAGGCGGAGGUUGCGGUGAGCCGAGAUUGCGCCAUUGCACUCCAGCCUGGGUGACAAGAGUGAAACUCCAUCUCAAAAAAUAAUAAUAAUAGUAAUAUAUAUAUAUUUUUUUUUAGACGGAGUUUCGCUCUUGUCACCGAGGCUGGAGUGCAAUGGCAUGAUCUCGGCUCACCGCAACCUCUGCUUCCCAGGUUCAAGCAAUUCUCCUGCCUCAG